rnacentral:rRNA from 1 species
GAUGAACGCUGGCGGCGUGCCUAAUACAUGCAAGUCGAGCGAACAGACGAGGAGCUUGCUCCUCUGACGUUAGCGGCGGACGGGUGAGUAACACGUGGAUAACCUACCUAUAAGACUGGGAUAACUUCGGGAAACCGGAGCUAAUACCGGAUAAUAUAUUGAACCGCAUGGUUCAAUAGUGAAAGACGGUUUUGCUGUCACUUAUAGAUGGUUCCGCGCCGCAUUAGCUAGUUGGUAAGGUAACGGCUUACCAAGGCAACGAUGCGUAGCCGACCUGAGAGGGUGAUCGGCCACACGGGAACUGAGACACGGUCCAGACUCCUACGGGAGGCAGCAGUAGGGAAUCUUCCGCAAUGGGCGAAAGCCUGACGGAGCAACGCCGCGUGAGUGAUGAAGGUCUUCGGAUCGUAAAACUCUGUUAUUAGGGAAGAACAAAUGUGUAAGUAACUAUGCACGUCUUGACGGUACCUAAUCAGAAAGCCACGGCUAACUACGUG